rnacentral:rRNA from 1 species
CAGCCGCCGCGGUAAUACAUAGGGUGCGAGCGUUAAUCGGAUUUACUGGGCGUAAAGCGUGCGUAGGCGGCUUCUUAAGUCGGAUGUGAAAUCCCUGAGCUUAACUUAGGAAUUGCAUUCGAUACUGGGAAGCUAGAGUAUGGGAGAGGAUGGUAGAAUUCCAGGUGUAGCGGUGAAAUGCGUAGAGAUCUGGAGGAAUACCGAUGGCGAAGGCAGCCAUCUGGCCUAAUACUGACGCUGAGGUACGAAAGCAUGGGGAGCAAACAGGAUUAGAUACCCCUGUAGUCCCUGUCUCUUAUAC